UGAGAGAGAUAGGGAUAGCAGGGGGAGUAGAGAGGAAAGAAAGAAAGAAAGAAGCUAACUUUUCUUUCACCAACUACAAAUAAUUACUCGUUGGAAGGCUUCUUUUUUCUAGCUUUAGAGAUUGAUGAAGAUGAGGAUCCUUUAUUAAAGAAACCAUAAUAAAAGAAACAAAUUAGGGCCGGGCAUGUCUAAAGUUCCUCCUCUUAGCUGAUCUUAGGUGUAAUGCAAAUGCUUUGAGUGGUGUAUUAUUACUAUUAUAAUUGUG
rnacentral:misc_RNA from 1 species